CUUGGAACUAUUACAAUUUGACUCAUAACGUUAGGGUGUGAAAAAUUACAAUAUUUUACUUUAGUUAUAACAUGCCGUGCUCAACAGACCAACCAUCAUUCUCAAUGCCCACUCCAGUCAUGGCAGAGACGGACAAUCACAUCCGCCUCAAGGCAGUUUAUAGUGGUGACAUCAUGGUGACCCACCUCCCCAUGGACAUCACCUACAGCAGUCUGUGUAAAGAAAUGCAGGAAAUAUGCCAGUUUGAUGAACAGCAGCCUUUCACCAUGAAGUGGCUGGAUGAG